UAUCUUUGAUUAACAGAUGUAGUUUUUUCAUAUCUUACAUUAUUUUAUUUGUUGAACUUUUUUCUUUCGCAGCCAUAGUAACAGCAAAAGUAACGCAAGAUUAUUCAUUGAACAUUGUUUAUAUUUACAGGUGAUUCUAACAUUAAUUGGAUAGAAAAUAUUUUCCGCAAUUAUUACAUCAAUUCAAAGGUGUAAGGAAACAAGACACCGUAAGAUACAAGAAAGGUUUUUCAACAUUGAAUCAAGAUGUAGGAGUUAACCUGCUAUCAAGUUUAUUCAACUGCUCAUUUAACUGUCAAUGGUAAUUUAUUUUGAUUGUCAUCUUGUUUAUGCUUCUGUUUUUUUUCAUUUUGACGAGAUAAUGGUUUUCAUCUAAGCAAAGACCAUAUUCAACUUCAAUUCUUGUUCAUUCAAAAAUUCGGUUAAUAAGAAAUCUUUCUCAAAGCUAAUAAUGGUACGCAUAUUGGACACAGUUUGGUUUCCAUAUGAGCAAAAGAUAACACCAGUUUUGUUCAGCUAUUAAACCAGAAAAUUUUAUUGCCAAUCGGCAGAGCACACGCAGGGAACUUUCGAAAAAUAAGGAUCUUGGGUCGAAGUUCAACGCAGUUGCAAAAGUCGUAAAAACGACAAAUGGCCAUCAACAAAAUGAAGUCAGUCUACUGCUGCACCGAGAGUCAGUUCAAAGUUCAUACACAAGUUUGAAAAAGACUUUGGUUUUACUGGUAAAUCCAGAACAAAAUUCGGAUAGACUUGAACAAUUUGAUAAGCCAUCUUAAUUUAAUCCAAUGGCUAUAUGACUCAUCUGAAAAAUCAAUAGGAACCACGCGACUAGGAACUUGUCAAAUAUUGAUAAAUGUUGUUUCACACAAAGGCUUCAAUCAAUAGAUCUGACAAUUACAAACGAUGUAACUGAAUGGACCCAAUCUUGAAUAAAAAAUACAUCACCAACAUAUUGUUUCAUAUUGUAA